rnacentral:rRNA from 1 species
UGGCGGACGGGUGAGUAACGCGUGGGUAACCUGCCUCAUACAGGGGGAUAACAGUUAGAAAUGACUGCUAAUACCGCAUAAGACCACAGCACCGCAUGGUGCAGGAGUAAAAACUCCGGUGGUAUGAGAUGGACCCGCGUCUGAUUAGGUAGUUGGUGGGGUAACGGCCUACCAAGCCGACGAUCAGUAGCCGACCUGAGAGGGUGACCGGCCACAUUGGGACUGAGACACGGCCCAA